rnacentral:rRNA from 1 species
UGCCAGCCGCCGCGGUAAUACGGAGGGUGCAAGCGUUGUUCGGAAUUAUUGGGCGUAAAGCGCGUGUAGGCGGUUCGUUAAGUCUGAUGUGAAAGCCCGGGGCUCAACCCCGGAAGUGCAUUGGAAACUGGCGAACUUGAGUACGGGAGAGGAAAGUGGAAUUCCGAGUGUAGGGGUAAAAUCCGUUGAUAUUAGGAGGAACGCUAAAAGCGAAGGCAGUAUACUGGACUUACCUGACGCUGAGAGACGAAAGCGUGGGGAGCAAACAGGAUUAGAUA